rnacentral:rRNA from 1 species
CCUACGGGAGGCAGCAGUGGGGAAUAUUGGACAAUGGGCGAAAGCCUGAUCCAGCAAUUCCGCGUGUGUGAAGAAGGCCUUCGGGUUGUAAAGCACUUUAGUGGGGGAAGAAACAGCUUGGCCACACCAAGCCUUGACGGUACCCCAAGAAUAAGCACCGGCUAACUCUGUGCCAGCAGCCGCGGUAAUACAGAGGGUGCAAGCGUUAAUCGGAUUUACUGGGCGUAAAGGGUGCGUAGGUGGCUAUUUAAGUCGGAUGUGAAAGCCCGGGGCUCAACCUCGGAAUUGCAUUCGAUACUGAGUGGCUAGAGUUCGGUAGAGGGCGGCGGAAUUUCCGGUGUAGCGGUGAAAUGCGUAGAUAUCGGAAGGAACAUCAAUGGCGAAGGCAGCCGCCUGGGCCUGGACUGACACUGAGGCACGAAAGCGUGGGUAGCAAACAGGAUUAGAUACCCUGGUAGUCCACGCCGUAAACGAUGAGAACUUGACGUUGGUUCGUUUUACGAAUCGGUGUCGCAGCUAACGCGAUAAGUUCUCCGCCUGGGGAGUACGGCCGCAAGGUUGAAACUUAAAGGAAUUGACGGCUUGAGAGNGCGAGNGACACGAGGGAGAGG